rnacentral:lncRNA from 1 species
GCCGUGAGGACAUUCAAACUGCCUAUGGAGAGGUCCACAUAGUGAAAAACUAAGGCCCCUGCCAAAACCCAUGUGAGCCAUCUUGGAAACAGAUCCUUCAGCCCUAGGCAAGCCCUUAGAUAAUGUAGUGCCAGCCAACAUCUUGACAGCAGCCUGCAAGAGACUCUGAGUUAGAAACAACCAGCGAAGCCAUUCCUGAAUUCCUAAUCCUCAGAAUCAGCAUGAUAAUAGUAAAUGCUUAUUAUCAGAUACCAUCAGCAUAAUGUCAUCGAUGCAGUGGACCAGUGUGACAUGGGGAACAUAAAGAUGGUCACGAUUUUUGCAGACUCCAUAUGCAAAGUAUUAUAGGCCUUUCCAUCUAUCCGGAGUGACCUACCAGAGACAGGACAGUGUGACCAGCAAGCUUCUGAUCACUCUUCAACACCCAGCAAGCAGUCUUAUCCUCCAUGCAGCCUUCUAAGACCUCUCUAAGCACAGGUAUCAGAUCCUCCUCUGGAUCACUCUGUCUUGUUACUGCAUUUAUCUCACUGGAUUUCAGUGAAGUGUGUAGACAACUAAUUUGUGCCUGCCUGAUCUGUGAGCUCUUCAUUCAAAGCAGUUGGCUCCUGAGUACAGGAUAAACCCCUAGAAUUGAAUAAAUUUGGUCUUACCUCAUCACUGGUAAGUUUCUUUGCUUUGAGUAAUCUUUGAGCUUUAUCUUCUUCUGAUCCCUCAUCACUGUCUGAUGAAUAGAUUCUGGCUCGUUCCU